rnacentral:rRNA from 1 species
AACGUAGGAGACAAACGUUAUCCGGAGUUACUGGGCGUAAAGGGCGUGUAGGUGGUAUCGUAAGUCUGGCGUGAAAUUUCUCGGCUUAACCGAGGCAGGUCGUCGGAUACUGCGAGGCUAGAGGACGGUAGAGGCGUGUGGAAUUCCGGGUGUAGUGGUGAAAUGCGUAGAGAUCCGGAGGAACACUAGUGGCGAAGGCGACACGCUGGGCCGUACCUGACACUGAUGCGCGACAGCAUAGGGAGCAAACAGG